rnacentral:lncRNA from 1 species
GCAGUCGCGGUGUGCCGCUACGUGCGGGCUCUCAAGGAGCUCAGCCUCCCGGACGGAGCCGGCGGCUGCGGGGCGAGGACGGCGGCGGACCGGGGCAGCCCCGCGCCCUGGCCAGCUCUACUGAGAUGAAGAAAGAAAAAGAAUACCUGCUCAGCUCCAGAGACACGUAAAGGGACAGAGAUUGGGGGACAGAAGGAAGUGCAUUAAUUCCUUCCACGACCCCUGAAGAGCAGCGGUGGGUCUGAGCAUCCUAUCUCCAGGAAGCAGGCCAGCAGGCAAGCCAGCUGCCACCUCGUCCUGUGCAAAGCACAGGCACCGUCCCCAAAAGAUUUCCAAAGAUGAUGUUAAACCCAGCCACGGUUCUGAUCUCCAGGAAAGCAAUUGCUGUGGUACAAAAGGACAAGGGUUAAAAGAGAACAGUGGGAGCUCUCUUUCCCAACUAACUCACGCAGUGUGACGCAGAGGCUUUCAGCACAGCCCAGGGUGCCCGGGACUGAAAACUCCUUCACCAGCCCCCUCCACAGGAUAUAGAAGACUUAGAUCACUACGAGAUGAAAGCAGAGCCCAUUAGUGGGAAAAAGUUGGAGGAUGAAGGAAUUG